AAACAUUACACUUUACAUCAUUCCGAUACUUUCACAGCCAUUCCCCCCUUAGUCUCUUCCUCUCCCCCAAAGCUACUUAGUCACUAGAGACCCUUCACAACUUAGGCUCUCCUAUCCCUCUCCAUCGCUUCUCUAGCAAACUUGGGGACCUCAUCGCUUAAGCACCACUGUCCUCCUAUCUUCAAUCCCUCAGUAGCCAGCAAGUGAGUGACGUCGUUCACCGUUCUGGGGCAAUAUUUGAAUAUACAGGUACGAAAUUGCUUACCCAAACAUUUUCCAUCUCUGAUUAAGACCACUAUUUCCGAUUUAUCCUCCCUCUCGUGUAACAGCUUUUUUAUGACAGUGAGUGCAUCUCCUUUAACCUCCGUAUCCAUUAGUCCUAGAUCUAGUCCCACCUGGAUCCUUUGAAUGCAUACAAUCGCUUCUACCGCAAAGACUGAAGGUACAUUCUCAUUAGUGACCCUUUUUUAGCAUAGUACAAGUCCCUCAGAGUUUCGAAUCACAAUCCCAGAACAUGAUUUUUCCUUAUGCUUUUUAUAGGCGGUGUCAAAAUUGAUUUUUACGAACGGGGGCUUUGAUGGUUGCCAACUUUCCAACUCCACACGCCGAACAUAUAAGGGAAUCUAUACCCCAUCAAGUUCUUGAACAUAAUUUCUUAUUGAAGUUGCAAUAGUGUUCCCAGAUCUUUUCUAAACCUCAUGAGUCCACUUAUUCUGUUCUGUCCAAAUAGACCAUAGAGCACAUCCGAACAUUCUACACUGGUUAUUGGUGUUAUGCUCAAAGAACCAGGUAACCCACUCCAAUAUCUCUAUUCUUGACACCCUUUCUGGCCAGGACCAGCCUAAAUGAUUCCAUUUAUCUUUUGUCUCAGGCACUCACGCAGGGCAUGGAUAUCGGUUUCAAUUCCACCUGCACAUCUCAGACAGAUACUAGAAUU
rnacentral:lncRNA from 1 species